AUACGUAGGUGGCAAGCGUUGUCCGGAUUUAUUGGGCGUAAAGCGAGCGCAGGCGGUUCUUUAAGUCUGAUGUGAAAGCCCCCGGCUCAACCGGGGAGGGUCAUUGGAAACUGGAGGACUUGAGUGCAAAAGAGGGGAGUGGAAUUCCCAGUGGAGCGGUGAAAUGCGUAGAUAUAUGGAGGAAAACCAGUGGCGAAGGCGGCUCUCUGGUCUGUAACUGACGCUGAGGCUCGAAAGCGUGGGGAGCAAGCAGGAUUAGAUACCCUGGUAGUCCACGCCGUAAACGAUGAGUGCUAAGUGUUGGAGGGUUUCCGCCCUUCAGUGCUGCAGCUAACGCAUUAAGCACUCCGCCUGGGGAGUACGGCCGCAAGGUUGAAACUCAAAUGAAUCGACGGGG
rnacentral:rRNA from 1 species